rnacentral:rRNA from 1 species
UGGGGAAUAUUGCACAAUGGGCGCAAGCCUGAUGCAGCCAUGCCGCGUGUAUGAAGAAGGCCUUCGGGUUGUAAAGUACUUUCAGUCGGGAGGAAGGUGGUAAGGUUAAUAACCUUAUCAAUUGACGUUACCCGCAGAAGAAGCACCGGCUAACUCCGUGCCAGCAGCCGCGGUAAUACGGAGGGUGCAAGCGUUAAUCGGAAUUACUGGGCGUAAAGCGCACGCAGGCGGUUUGUUAAGUCAGAUGUGAAAUCCCCGGGCUCAACCUGGGAUCUGCAUCUGAUACUGGCAAGCUUGAGUCUCGUAGAGGGGGGUAGAAUUCCAGGUGUAGCGGUGAAAUGCGUAGAGAUCUGGAGGAAUACCGGUGGCGAAGGCGGCCCCCUGGACGAAGACUGACGCUCAGGUGCGAAAGCGUGGGGAGCAAACAGG